rnacentral:rRNA from 1 species
AUUGAACGCUGGCGGCAUGCUUUACACAUGCAAGUCGAACGGCAGCGCGGGCUUCGGCCUGGCGGCGAGUGGCGAACGGGUGAGUAGUGCAUCGGAACGUGCCCAGUAGUGGGGGAUAGCCCGGCGAAAGCCGGAUUAAUACCGCAUACGACCUGAGGGUGAAAGCGGGGGACCGAAAGGCCUCGCGCUAUUGGAGCGGCCGAUGUCGGAUUAGCUAGUUGGUGGGGUAAAGGCUUACCAAGGCGACGAUCCGUAGCUGGUCUGAGAGGACGACCAGCCACACUGGGACUGAGACACGGCCCAGACUCCGACGGGAGGCAGCAGUGGGGAAUUUUGGACAAUGGGGGCAACCCUGAUCCAGCCAUGCCGCGUGCGGGAAGAAGGCCUCGGGUUGUAAACCGCUUUUGUUCGGGAAGAAAUCCUCUGGGCUAAUACCCCGGGGGGAUGACGGUACCGGAAGAAUAAGCACCGGCUAACUACGUG